rnacentral:rRNA from 1 species
AGACACCAGGCAGAUCACGUCAAGUAACCUUAAAUUAACAGGUAAAAACACAGUGACCCCUAGCCCCUAUGUCUUUGGUUGGGGCGACCGCGGGGGAAAACAAAGCCCCCAUGUGGACUGGGGGCACUGCCCCCACAACCAAGAGCCACAACUCUAAGUACCAGAAUUUCUGACCAAAAAUGAUCCGGCGAACGCCGAUCAACGGACCGAGUUACCCUAGGGAUAACAGCGCAAUCCUCUCCCAGAGUCCCUAUCGACGAGGGGGUUUACGACCUCGAUGUUGGAUCAGGACAUCCUAAUGGUGCAGCCGCUAUUAAG